CAGCCGCCACGGGAAUACAGAGGGUGCAAGCGUUAAUCGGAAUUACUGGGCGUAAAGCGCGCGUAGGUGGUUUGUUAAGUUGAAUGUGAAAUCCCCGGGCUCAACCUGGGAACUGCAUCCAAAACUGGCAAGCUAGAGUAGGGCAGAGGGUGGUGGAAUUUCCUGUGUAGCGGUGAAAUGCGUAGAUAUAGGAAGGAACACCAGUGGCGAAGGCGACCACCUGGGCUCAUACUGACACUGAGGUGCGAAAGCGUGGGGAGCAAACAGGAUUAGAUACCCCGGUAGUCCCUGUCUCUUAUAA
rnacentral:rRNA from 1 species